UUCAGAAUCUUGCGCAAUGGGCGAAAGCCUGACGCAGCGAUGCCGCGUGAGCGAUGAAGGCCUUCGGGUCGUAAAGCUCUGUCAGAGGGAACGAUAAUGACGGUACCCUCAAAGGAAGCCACGGCUAAUUACGUGCCAGCAGCCGCGGUAAUACGUAAGUGGCGAGCGUUAUCCGGAAUCACUGGGCGUAAAGCGUUCGUAGGCGGCGCAGUAGGUCGGAAUUGAAAUCCCAGGGCUUAACUCUGGACCCGGUUCCGAAACUGCUGUGCUUGAGCGUAGCAGAGGGUAGUGGAAUUCCCGGUGUAGCGGUAAUAUGCGUAGAUAUCGGGAGGAACACCAGUGGCGAAGGCGGCUACCUGGGAUAUUGCUGACGCUGAGGAACGAAAGCCAGGGGAGCGAACG
rnacentral:rRNA from 1 species